AACAGUCAGCGGAAGCAUAAAUCCAGCUGGGCCAGGCCCUCCCCACUGCAGUGGGCAGAGCAGGAGCCGGGGCUUUCAGGGGGCAGGUGUCUUUCAGGGGACAAGCGGGGCUGAGCGUUGCUCUAAUCAUGGCCCAUCCUCCCCUCCUCUGUGAUAAAUGACCCCAAGGAGAUUUUGGCGUUGAGACUGAGCCAUCAGAAUUUUGCCGGAGACUCUUUCGUGGCCCAGCCAGGAAAUGGAAGGGGAAGAAACUGGACUCAGCUUUGUGCCUGAGAGCUAGACAUCUUCGUUCACACCCUGCUUCUGUUCGUGAAGAGGCAAAUGGGAGCCAGGCCUGGCAGCUGGGGUCUCACUUUGGCAUCCAGGCUGGCCUCGAACUCAUGACAGUCCUGCCUCAGCCUCCCAAGAGCUGGGAUUAUAGGCCUGUGCCACCACAGCCAGCUUAACUUUCAUACUCUUAAAAUUGAUCUUCUUUUAUGGUAUAGGAGGCUUUCUUUCAUACUCUACGCCUUCAGUUUGGGACAAAAAUAAAACUAUGAUUA